rnacentral:piRNA from 1 species
AGACCAAGGAGAACUGGAGAGAGGAAGC